rnacentral:lncRNA from 1 species
CCUUCCCCUUUUACCCUGAGAAGAUUCUAUUCUUUUGCCUUCGACUCUUCAAAUUGGAACAAUCGACCACACUUUUUUUUCCUCCCAUUUUUGCCUUUAAGAGAUCUUUUUACAGAAAGGACGUUCCCGGUGUCGUAUAACGUGCUUUCCUGCUCGAGAACGCGCUGGGCGUCUAGUUGUAGAAGGUAGUAUAGAGAUUUGGUAAUAUU